GGACUUGCCAAGUGAUCUUAGUGUCUUUGCAACUGAGCACACUCUACCAGCAACACUGACAGCUCACCAGUGGGAGCUGAUAGAUAAGACUGCUCUCAUCCAUUGAAGAGCUGACCAGAAACGUGAACAGAAAGACUGCAACUGCACCUGAUGGGAUCCCUGCCAUAACAGAUGUGUUCUGUCCAGUGAAGGCAGUGGAGAAGCCCUACACUGAUCUUGAAACUGUGCCACGCUACUAGAAACCGGCUACAAGGAUGGGCAGCUGUUUUCGCAAAGUCAGCCAACCACUUGCUUCCAAAUGACUCUUAUCCAGAAGUAUCCGUAAGUGCCUCAUCAACAGAAACUAAAGUGGAGACCUACCUCUCAGAGAAAAACGCACACAUAAGAAAAGCCGACCCACUUCAGUACUGGGAAGAACAUCCUAAUCUGUUUCCCUCUAUGGCUGCUGUUGCGAUCCCAGUGUGCCCCCUGUAGCUCUGUGGACAGUUUUGGAUUUGUUUACAUCUCACCCCAACCGGUCGCGACAGAUGGCCG